AUCCAGGAUGUUUUAAAGAAAGGUCUGGUCAAGAGUUCUCUAGACCGGCGAGCAUGCAUGGAGUCUUUGAUGAGAGUGGAACAAGUGAAAGUGGUGUGCCACGAUCGUAAAAGGGUCCCAAAUUCGUGUGUGCCCAAGGGCCCCAGCCUAGUUUAAGACGGCGCUGUCUAUGACGGCAAGCGGAAUCGCAGUGGCCAGUUCCUCAGAUACAAAUUCAAAAAUAUCUUUAUUCAAUAGGUAACAUAGUUACACUUUGAAUCGUCAAUGUUUACAUAACGAACGUAUCAUCCGCCUAAAUCUACUGCAGCUUCUCACAACCUGUAUAGCCGGGGAAAAGAAGCCGCAAGAAAAACCUCGGCACAAGGCCCUAGACGUUCUUUUAAAAAAAAUAUGUUCAGAAAGAAAUAUGUUCAAAGAUGUUCAGAAAAGACAUAUGAAAAAAUGCAACAUUGGGCCUUCUCGCUCGGAACCUCAUGCGAGUAACCGCCCAGAAUGGCAACGUUUGAUGCAUAAUGUCUACACAUUUGAAAAUGAAAGAAGGCGCGAACUGGACGAGUGUUAGCAAAUCUACAAUAAAACGUAAAUAUUAGUAAACGUUAUUUUAAACGGUAUAAUAUUUUAACACCCACAUCUUUAUGAAUUGACAGACUUUACAAUCUAAUGACAGAAGCAUAAUAUAAAAAUAAUUGUCACUUGAUAUUUAGAUCACAAUAUGUAUAGAAUUAUGCCUGGGUGUAAUAAUGAGAUCAUUUAUACCGAAAAACAUAGACAGAAGUCGCAUAAAUGUCUGUUAUCCAUGAAAUUAGAAGGUUAAACGAAGGAAAAAAUAAUUUCUGAGUGCAUCUGAGUAUGUAUGGACAUUUAAAAUGUUUUAUGUUCAAUUGUGGCAGCAUUUUAUUGGCAUUUGUUUGUGUUUACAAGUAUCCGUUUUGUAAAAAAAGGAUGUAAGGUACCCAAAUAAAAUCUUCACAGCGCCAUCUA